GAUGAACGCUGGCGGCGUGCCUAAUACAUGCAAGUCGAGCGAAUGGAUUAAGAGCUUGCUCUUAUGAAGUUAGCGGCGGACGGGUGAGUAACACGUGGGUAACCUGCCCAUAAGACUGGGAUAACUCCGGGAAACCGGGGCUAAUACCGGAUAACAUUUUGAACCGCAUGGUUCGAAAUUGAAAGGCGGCUUCGGCUGUCACUUAUGGAUGGACCCGCGUCGCAUUAGCUAGUUGGUGAGGUAACGGCUCACCAAGGCAACGAUGCGCAGCAGACCUGGGAGGGUGAUCGGCCACACUGGGACUGAGACACGGCCCAGACUCCUACGGGAGGCAGCAGUAGGGAAUCUUCCGCAAUGGACGAAAGUCUGACGGAGCAACGCCGCGUGAGUGAUGAAGGCUUUCGGGUCGUAAAACUCUGUUGUUAGGGAAGAACAAGUGCUAGUUGAAUAAGCUGGCACCUUGACGGUACCUAACCAGAAAGCCACGGCUAACUACGUGCCAGCCGCCGCCGUAA
rnacentral:rRNA from 1 species